UAUAUUUAAGGCAAGUUCUCGACUUAUUUGUAGGAUGGGAUAAGUUUAAUACUAAAAACAGAAAAGUUUGCAGGAAUCAUUCCAAGUGAGAUUGGAAAUCUGACAAGCCUCGAAAUUCUUGAUCUGAACUACAACAAUUUGCAAGGUGAAAUUCCUUCAUUUCUUUGGAACAUGCCUUCUUUGAGAAAGAUUG